rnacentral:rRNA from 1 species
UACGAAGGGGGCUAGCGUUGCUCGGAAUCACUGGGCGUAAAGCGCACGUAGGCGGAUUGUUAAGUCAGGGGUGAAAUCUGGAGCUCAACUCCAGAACUGCCUUUGAUACUGGCAAUCUCGAGUUCGGGAGAGGUGAGUGGAACUGCGAGUGUAGAGGUGAAAUUCGUAGAUAUUCGCAAGAACACCAGUGGCGAAGGCGGCUCACUGGCCCGAUACUGACGCUGAGGUGCGAAAGCGUGGGGAGCAAACAGGG